UUUUCUUCAAGAGCACAUAUUCCCUAAAACUGAAAUGAAAUAGAGAAGAUUACCAUUGCCCCUGUAUAAAAAUAAUUGAAUCAUGAAGCAUGCCAUUUUUUC